AAUCCUAUCCUAAUUACAAGUUCAAUUCUAACUACAAUAUGAGCUUUGUAAUUCAACAACACAUUACGAAUCUAAAAUUACCAAAACAUCUACCAAUAGACCAAUCCAUUAACCCUUAACUCUAGCACAUGGUAACUAUUAAUUGUGACUGUAGCCUAAACACAAACUUAGCUAUUAGUCCAUGUUUGAUCAACUGUCUUGCUUCAACAAUCGAUAUUACGACAUAAGGACUGGGCUAAAAAACAACAAUUAGAUUAAGCUACAGAUGAAUCAAAUAACAUAUAAGGUAAACAUCAUGGAAGAAAUAUAGAUAUGGCACAAAUAGAUCUACUACCACUACUUAAUACUGCUUUUUAUUCCAUCUUCAAACUGAAAUUACAUCAUGACGGACUUGGAAUUUGCACCUGGAGAUUAAAGGAAAAAGGUGAAGAAUUAGCACAACAAUAAAACAACAGCUCAAACAACAAGAAAUCACCAAUUUUUGACACUUAAACCUAGUAAAUUAUCUCAGGGAAAACCCAAGGAAAAAUUAACCCUCAACUAGCUUGUAUAAAAAAUUUUAAUAACCAAACAUCACCUUUUCGAAGAUAAAAUAAGAGUUUUGUCUUUUUAGAAAUGAAAUGAAUCACUGAAUCCUCAAUGGAACAGUAGAACUACUAUCAAAAUUUUUGCUGUUUCAAUUUUUUGUAUUUUUU
rnacentral:lncRNA from 1 species